rnacentral:rRNA from 1 species
UACGAAGGGGGCUAGCGUUGUUCGGAAUUACUGGGCGUAAAGCGCACGUAGGCGGGUCGUUAAGUCAGGGGUGAAAUCCCGGAGCUCAACUCCGGAACUGCCUUUGAUACUGGCGAUCUUGAGAUCGGAAGAGGUGAGUGGAAUUCCCAGUGUAGAGGUGAAAUUCGUAGAUAUUCGCAAGAACACCAGUGGCGAAGGCGGCCAACUGGUCCGGUACUGACGCUGAGGUGCGAAAGCGUGGGGAGCAAACAGG